UUGACACGAUUGUGAUGUGACAACGACGAGGCAAGAGAUAUUUUGGGAAAUGACUUGUCCUCUCUGAUCUUAUGCCAACUUUGGUGGUGGGUUCAUUGGAUGAAUGAAUGUUACAGUUUACGUGUUACAAGUUACCGUAGUGCACGAGUAAGCCCAGUACGCGGGUAAAAUACCAUGACCUGACAAAGAGGUCAUAUGCUGUUUGUUACGACGCUGAUAAUGAUCAUUUCCUCCUUUCUGAACAAGAAGACAGAGAAAUUCAUACGUAGACAAAUUCAUUCCACCCAAUAAAACGUGUACCGCUGUAAUUUUUGUCCUUCCGGUGCCCUCGGAUCGAGUGUGGGUCAAAGGUACUCCAAUUUCUCGGGCAGCCCUAGUUUCCUACUAAUCAGAUCACGACGUCGCCCACAGUUAAAUUGCAACCAAAGGUGGCAAGAGUAAAGUCCGAAACCGGUUUUUGAUUAAUGGAAAUGUAAAUCCCAAUUAGUUAAAUACUAUAAUUUAGUAAUUUCGUUCAGUUCUAUAAAGUUAAUCUUGUAUGUUAAAAUUCAAUCAGCUAAUAAAUAGCACGAUACGAUGGUGUCAAAUUUUCAGGUAUGUGUCACUCAAGUAUUAAAGUUGAUGAUUGAGGGGAAUAAAAUAAAUUGAAUUUGUUAAAAGAAUUUCGAGAAUUAUACAGAUAUUUAUUAUUUCCGAUGAACUUAUUUGAUAAUUUUUGUCAAUAUUAUUUUUUGGGAGUUGGUGAUCCCGCAGAGCAAAACUCUAUGCUGCCUGGCAUUUGAGAUAACGAUGACAUUAAAUCGAGUAUUUUUAUUAUAUUAAAAAGUUCCUUUAUUAGCACCAAACGUCUGAAUAUUUUUCAGUAUAAAAAUUAUGUGUAAACACAUUCAAAUUCUGAAUUUAACUACCCGUUCUAUGAAGGUGAUUAAAAUCUUACUAAUCGAUUGAUAUCAGUCUUUGUGAACCAGUCUCAAAAUUACAAAGAUUGACACGAAUCACUCGGUUUGUCUGGAUUUGUGUAAAGUUAUGAUAGUUAAAAUUAAUAACAAGUAAUAUUUAAAUAACAGCGUGAA